AGAGUUUGAUCAUGGCUCAGAAUCAACGCUGGCGGCGUGCCUAACACAUGCAAGUCGAACGCGAAAGGGGCUUCGGCCCUGAGUAGAGUGGCGAACGGGUGAGUAACACGUGGGUGACCUACCUUCGAAUGGGGGAUAACGUCCCGAAAGGGACGCUAAUACCGCAUAACAUCCUGCCUUUGAACAGGUGGAGAUCAAAGCCGGGGAUCGCAAGACCUGGCGUUUGAAGAGGGGCCCGCGCCUGAUUAGCUAGUUGGUGAGGUAACGGCUCACCAAGGCGACGAUCAGUAUCCGGCCUGAGAGGGCGGACGGACACACUGGGACUGAGACACGGCCCAGACUCCUACGGGAGGCAGCAGUGGGGAAUUGUUCGCAAUGGGCGCAAGCCUGACGACGCAACGCCGCGUGGAGGAUGAAGGUCUUCGGAUUGUAAACUCCUGUUGCCCGGGACGAAAUGCUUCGACCUAACACGUCGAAGUUUGACGGUACCGGGUGAGGAAGCCCCGGCUAACUCUGUGCCAGCAGCCGCGGUAAUACAGAGGGGGCAAGCGUUGUUCGGAAUUACUGGGCGUAAAGGGCGCGUAGGCGGCCUUCUAAGUCAUGCGUGAAAUCCCCGGGCUCAACCCGGGAACUGCGUCUGAUACUGGAGGGCUUGAAUCCGGGAGAGGGAUGUGGAAUUCCAGGUGUAGCGGUGAAAUGC
rnacentral:rRNA from 1 species